CACGGGGGGAGCAAGCGUUGUUCGGAUUCAUUGGGCGUAAAGAGCUCGUAGGCGGCUCUGUAAGUCGGGGGUGAAAGACCACGGCUCAACCGUGGAAACGCCUUCGAUACUGUGGAGCUUGAGGCCGGGAGAGGAAAGUGGAAUUCCUGGUGUAGCGGUGAAAUGCGUAGAUAUCAGGAGGAACACCAGUGGCGAAGGCGGCUUUCUGGACCGGUUCUGACGCUGAGGAGCGAAAGCCAGGGGAGCAAACAGG
rnacentral:misc_RNA from 1 species